GAUGAACGCUGGCGGCGUGCCUAAUACAUGCAAGUCGAGCGAACAGACGAGGAGCUUGCUCCUCUGACGUUAGCGGCGGACGGGUGAGUAACACGUGGAUAACCUACCUAUAAGACUGGGAUAACUUCGGGAAACCGGAGCUAAUACCGGAUAAUAUAUUGAACCGCAUGGUUCAAUAGUGAAAGACGGUUUUGCUGUCACUUAUAGAUGGAUCCGCGCCGCAUUAGCUAGUUGGUAAGGUAACGGCUUACCAAGGCAACGAUGCGUAGCCGACCUGAGAGGGUGAUCGGCCACACUGGAGCUGAGACACGGUCCAGACUCCUACGGGAGGCAGCAGUAGGGAAUCUUCCGCAAUGGGCGAAAGCUUGACGGAGCAACGCCGCGUGAGUGAUGAAGGUCUUCGGAUCGUAAAACUCUGUUAUUAGGGAAGAACAAAUGUGUAAGUAACUAUGCACGUCUUGACGGUACCUAAUCAGAAAGCCACGGCUAACUACGUG
rnacentral:rRNA from 1 species